CACGUACGCAACCUGCCCAGAGACCGGGACAACAUUCCGAAAGGGGUGCUAAUACCGGAUGCGGCCACAGGGAGACAUCUUCUUGUGUUUAAAGCCUCGCAAGGGGGCUCUGGGAGGGGCCUGCGGCCUAUCAGCUAGAUGGCGAGGUAACGGCUCCCCAUGGCGACGACGGGUAGCUGGUCUGAGAGGAUGGUCAGCCGGACUGGAACUGAAACACGGUCCAG
rnacentral:rRNA from 1 species